rnacentral:rRNA from 1 species
UACGAAGGGGGCUAGCGUUGUUCGGAUUUACUGGGCGUAAAGCGCACGUAGGCGGAUCGUUAAGUCGGGGGUGAAAUCCUGGAGCUCAACUCCAGAACUGCCUUCGAUACUGGCGAUCUUGAGUCCGGAAGAGGUGAGUGGAACUCCUAGUGUAGAGGUGGAGUUCGUAGAUAUUAGGAAGAACACCAGUGGCGAAGGCGGCUCACUGGUCCGGUACUGACGCUGAGGUGCGAAAGCGUGGGGAGCAAACAGG